GACGAACGCUGGCGGCGUGCUUAACACAUGCAAGUCGAGCGGUAAGGCCCUUUCGGGGUACGACGAGCGGCGAACGGGUGAGUAACACGUGGGUGACCUGCCCUCCAGCUCUGGGAGUAAGCCUGGGAAACCGGGGUCUAAUACUGGAUAUGACUCCACGACGCAUGUUGUGGGGUGGAAAGCCUUGUGCGGCUGAGGAUGGGCCCGCGGCCUAUCAGCUUGUUGGUGGGGUGAUGGCCUACCAAGGCGACGACGGGUAGCCGGCCUGAGAGGGCGACCGGCCACACUAGGACUGAGACACGGCCCAGACUCCUACGGGAGGCAGCAGUGGGGAAUCUUGCGCAAUGGGCGAAAGCCUGACGCAGCGACGCCGCGUGAGGGAUGACGGCCUGUGUA
rnacentral:rRNA from 1 species